CCCUGAGUGACAGAGCCCUUGGAACCCCCGGCACAGGCUCCUGUUCCUCCCCCCACACCGGAGCCUUAAUCCUUUCCCUUUGAUAACACAAUUGUCUUCAAGGAGCUGAGCAGCCCUCCUGGCGCAGCGGGGGCUCCCAGCCUGUGGAAGAAGUCGGAAAUAACAGCAACAAAGCCCUUCUCAAGCAAAGAACAGCGUCCAGCUCCAGAGUAGACAUCCCUGCGCAUUGAACUUACUGCCUCUCUCUGAAGACCAGAAGGGAAGAAUGCACCCAACAACAGGAAGACAUCUUCAUUCACAUACGUGGGUGCCACCCAUCCAUCCACCCAUUCAUCCAUCCAUCCAUCCAUCCUUUCAAUAAUAUGUAUUGUGCACCCUUUCUGUGUCAGGCAUUGUACUGGAUUCUGGGAACACUGAAGCAAGGAAAACUUUUAUUCCCCUCUCUUUCCUUCAAAUCAGGAUGUGGUCCAGACCCAGGACAGAGGUUGGAACACACUUAACUGUUCAGUUUGCCUUUUCCAGACUCAGGUCACUUUUCUAUCCCAAACCGAGGCUAGCACAAUGGACAUGUCACAUGGACACAGGUUGGGAUGGUCUGGCCGGGUGACUAUCUUUGUGGUCGCAGCACCAUUUUUCUAAAGAAAAGAAGCCAACACCACACGAGUGAUCUAGACCUCUGGAUCCUGCAGAGGUGCUCAAUAUGGUACCUGGUACAAAUUAGAAACAAGGACGCUUUCAUCGAGACUCACCACUGCCAUCUGCUGGAAAACUUUCACAAUAAAUAUACAGCUCCACAGGGCUGCCAUGUGACUGGUGUCCCCUAGAUUUGUUGAGCACAUCUGCCUGCCUAUGUGAUCUUGGUCUAUUUAGUAUGACCAACCCCGCAGUCCCACAGGGCAGUGGCUACUGCCAAGUAUCUCAAGAGAAAGGUGCUGUGUUAGGUCCAGCCCUAGAACAUCUGAGAAGCCAAAAUCCAUCUUUUUUUGUUUUUUGCUAUUAGCAUGUGUUUCUGAAGUUCUGUUAGAUGGAGGAUGACUGAGGGCAGAAAUUUACACUAUUCUAAACUACAUGUGAACAUCUAAGGUGGAAAAUUAUCUAAAAAGCUCUAAUUUUCCUUUCUUUCUUCCUUAUGCAUCUCUCCUCCGUGCUAGAGACAAUAGCAUCACCAUUCAAACAAACGCAAAACACCUGGCUAAGAAUGAUUCCCAACUCCUUGGCCCCCAGUACUCACACAUUCUUUGGAGGAACUCUUGGAGUAUUUUUUAGUUAAGAUUAAUUGCCUUAUAGUUUAAUAUAUAAGAAUAUAUCUCUGGUGUGAAACCCCUUUGUCCACAGAGGAGGUAGUCUGCAAAGCAAUGGAUUUAAUCAAUAAAAAAUAAAAACCUAAGUUUACUUUAAAGAAUACUGAGAACUUCUAUUUCCAACCUCACAUGCACAGCAGUGAGCAAACCCAUGUAUACACAUGUAUUUGCCUGUAUCUUUAUGUGCAGGGGGUGGGAAUAGAUGAGCCUAUGCCUCGCUUGGUGUCUUUUGCCCACUGUGUUAAUAAAUGUGGGGUAAAGCUGGGUGCGGUGGCUCAUGCCUGUAAUCCUAGCACUCUGGGAGGCUGAGCCGGAUGGAUUGCCUGAGGUCAUGUGUUUAAGACCAGCCUGAGCUACAGCAAGACCCCAUCUCUAAAAAUAGCCAGGUGUUGUACUGGGAGCCUAUAGUCCUAGCUACUUGGGAGGCUGAGGCAAGAGAAUUGCUUGAACCCAAGAAUUUGAAGUUGCUGUGAGCUAUGAUGCCACAGCACUCUACUGAGGGCAAUAAAGUGAGACUCUGUCUCAAAAAAAAAAAUGUGGGAUGAUGAAAAUGGUGGAGGUGCCAACAUUGACUGGGAACUUCCCUUUCCUGAACUUUGGGUUCCUUGCAGGUAAAAUAAAGGUGUCGGCUCUGUGUGAUGUCAUUGCCUACCCUAAAGCCAAUGGUUUUGUGGAAUGGAGGGAGAGUGUCCAGGAGCAUGUUCCCUGGAGCUGGUGGCCCCAGCUGCAAAGGCCCCCACCAGGCCCUCAAAUGGCAGGAAAGGGCCGACCCAGGAGCCUGAAUCAGAAACACAUUGCCAGAUUGAGCAUCCUUGCACUGCCUUCCUUGACCUUAGGAAUACGGGGACUAGAUGGAUCCCUUCAGCUGUGAAAGCUGUCAGCUGCUUUCUGCCUUGAAUUCUCUUUCCCUUCCCUUACUUAGAUUCUCCAUUCAAUACAGCUCUGAGAAAACUCACCAAGCCUGGCAGUGGGCGUCAGGUAGGGCCAACACUGCUCUGGGAUAGUGCUAGACACCUUGGCAGUGAGAUGUGCCAAACCCUAGGACUGAGGGGUUCUGGGAGGACCAGUGCAUUGUGGGACUAAAAGCAGAGGACACUUUACCUGGUCCUGGCUUAUGUCCAUCCAAUGAUCUGCUUGGGCCCUGAAUAAACACUCAUUAAACCUCCUGUGUGUGGGCUCUGUGUUGUAAGCUGUGGGGCUACAGAGAUGAAUGAGACGUGAUUUUAGCCUGAAGAGCUUACACAAACCACCCACCCCAGCACAAGGCCAAUUGUGUUACCCAAAUGCCAUGGAGGCUCAGAAAGUAGAGUGCACCUUAGCUAGAGAUUAGGAAAAGCAUCACAGGUUCCUGGCAUGCAAGGUGGUGCUUAGAGAACAGGUAGAAUUUUAGCAGGUCUUAGGGUCUACCAAGGACUAGAGGGAGAUGCUUUAGUAGAGGGCAAUCACCAGGAAAAAGUUGGGAAGAAACACAUAGCACCAUUGGCCAUGUGGCAGGUCAUGAAGUUGGACUGCAUUUAAAUUGAGAAUAUAGGACAGGGAGGGUGACUAGGGACUCAUCAGCAAUCAAAGUCAACCACAGUUAGUGUGGUAGGUAGAAUAAUGAUCCCCAAAGAUGUCCAUGUUCUAAUUCCUAGAACCUGUGAAUAUAUCACUCUCUAUGGUUGAAGGCACUUUGCAGAUGUUAUGAAGUUAAGCAUCUGAGAUGGGGAGAUUACUCUGGAUUAUCCAGGUGAGCCCCAGGUAAUCAUAAGGGUCCUCAUAAGAGGGAGAUAGUUGGGGCAAAGGGGAGGAGGACCAGGGGAAAACAAAAAGAGAAAUUAAAAUGAUGCAGCCACAGCCAAAAGAUGCUACCAGCUUAUAGUAGUUUGAAGAGGCCAGGAGCGAAUUGUCCCCUGGAGACUUUUGAAGGGACACUGUGCUGCCCACAGCCUGACUUUUGCCCUGUCAGACACACUUUGGACUUCUGAUCUCUAGACCUGUGAGAGAAUACAUACCUGUUGUUUUUAACCAUUACAUUGGUAGUAAUUAGUUACAGCAACAAUAGGAAACGAAUACAGUGAGAAAUACUCCAAGUGUUGUGGUUUCUAAUCUAAGGCAAGUUAUUUACAUUUUCCAUCAGACUUCAGUCUGCUGUCUUUUAAGGGGUUUAAGAGUAAUACUUACCUCUUAGGGUUUUAAGGAUGAACCACAAUUACACAUGUAAAGCUCCAGCACUUGGAAAUCAUAAAGUAAGUUACAGCCAUACUUCAUGCUUGUCUGCCUUCCCUCCUCUCUCCAGCCUGCCUCCUUCCAGUAUAGUUUUCUGAGUCUCCUGUAGGGACUUCAACAACAGGCUGCUGGAGCCUCCCUGGGCUCCAUGUUUCAGGUAAGGAUACCACUCAGAGGACAGAUCAUUUAAAAGCCAGGGUAAGGAUUAGAAGCCUACUCAUGGA